rnacentral:tRNA from 1 species
GCGGGGGUGUCCUAGUGGUCAAGGGAGUAGCGCUGAGGCCGCUAUGGCGAAGGCCUUCGAGGGUUCGAAUCCCUUCCCCCGCACCA